AUGUACAUUCCUACAUCAGAGAAUUGAUGCACUAGAUCCCAUUAGAACUUCACAGUUAAGUGCGUAAAGACUAGAGUAGUACUGGGAUAGGUGACCACCUGAGAAGUCCUAGUAUUUUACAUG
rnacentral:rRNA from 1 species